CACAACUGCAAUGUUGUUGGAUGAAUUAAGACUUGGUAGAAAUGGAGUAGUGUAGUGAGCAAAAAAAGGUUGUUAGGAAUGACAAGUAGGGAAGGUGGUGGAGAGAGUUUUGUUGUCAGUAGGAAGAAACAUCUUGUCUGGAGGAAGCUCCCAUAUGGGAUGGGAAAAGAGACUGACUGAAAAUCUGAAUGUCAGGAUAGGAGAGGAGGACAUUUUUCAGCAGGAGUGUGUUACAGGAUACUCAGACAAGACCAGAAAGUGAACAGUGGCUGGGCAUGAAAGCAUGAAGUAUAGCUUAAUUCAAAAGACGGAUAUCUUGUCAUUUUGGACUAUCAUUCUGAAACUCAACAAACUUCUGAAUCUACUUAUCUAUUUCCAUCCAUCACCAGAAAGAAGGGAGGAUGAGUAA
rnacentral:lncRNA from 1 species